rnacentral:rRNA from 2 species
UUAGGUUAAGUUAUUAAGGGCGUAUGGUGGAUGCCUUGGCACUAGGAGCCGAUGAAGGACGUGACUAACUGCGAUAUGCUUCGGGGAGUUGUAAGUAAACUAUGAUCCGGAGAUUUCCGAAUGGGGAAACCUAACAGGUUUUACCGCCUGUUAUCACUAAGUGAAUUCAUAGCUUAGUUGAAGGUAGACGUGGGGAACUGAAACAUCUAAGUACCCACAGGAAGAGAAAGAAAUUCGAUUCCCUCAGUAGCGGCGAGCGAACCGGGAAGAGCCCAAACUAAGAAGCUUGCUUCUUAGGGUUGUAGGACUGAACAUUUGAGUUGCCAAGAAAUGAAGUAGUUGAAUAAUCUGGGAAGAUUAGCCAAAGAGAGUGAUAGCCUCGUAAACGAAACUUCGUUUCCUCAGUUCAGGAUCCUGAGUACGGCGGAACACGUGAAACUCCGUCGGAAUCCGGGAGGACCAUCUCCCAAGGCUAAAUACUACCUAGUGACCGAUAGUGAACCAGUACCGUGAGGGAAAGGUGAAAAGCACCCCGGGAGGGGAGUGAAAUAGUUCCUGAAACCAUAUGCCUACAAGUAGUCAGAGCUCGUUAAUGAGUGAUGGCGUGCCUUUUGUAGAAUGAACCGGCGAGUUACGUUAGCGUGCGAGGUUAAGGAGGAAAGUCCGGAGCCGUAGCGAAAGCGAGUCUGAAUAGGGCGAGAUAGUACGUUGACGUAGACCCGAAACCAGGUGACCUACCCAUGUCCAGGUUGAAGGUGCGGUAAAACGCACUGGAGGACCGAACCCGUGUAUGUUGAAAAAUGCUGGGAUGAGGUGUGGGUAGAGGUGAAAUUCCAAACGAACUUGGAGAUAGCUGGUUCUCUCCGAAAUAGCUUUAGGGCUAGCCUCGGAGUUGAGAAUCGUGGAGGUAGAGCACUGUUUGGACUAGGGGCCCGUCUUGGGUUACUGAAUUCAGAUAAACUCCGAAUGCCACAGAUUUAUAUCCGGGAGUCAGACUGCGAGUGAUAAGAUCCGUAGUCGAAAGGGAAACAGCCCAGACCACCGAUUAAGGUCCCAAAAUAUGUGUUAAGUGGAAAAGGAUGUGGAAUUGCAUAGACAACUAGGAUGUUGGCUUAGAAGCAGCCACCAUUUAAAGAGUGCGUAAUAGCUCACUAGUCGAGUGAUCCUGCGCCGAAAAUGUAACGGGGCUAAACACAUUACCGAAAUCGUGGAUGUACCGUAAGGUACAUGGUAGGAGAGCGUUCUAAGGACG